rnacentral:misc_RNA from 1 species
GAAAUGCGAUAAGUAAUGUGAAUUGCAGAAUUCCGUGAAUCAUCGAAUCUUUGAACGCACAUUGCGCCCCCUGGCAUUCCGGGGGGCAUGCCUGUCCGAGCGUCAUUUCUGCCCUCAAGCACGGCUUGUGUGUUGGGUGUGGUCCCCCCGGGGACCUGCCCGAAAGGCAGCGGCGACGUCCGUCUGGUCCUCGAGCGUAUGGGGCUCUGUCACUCGCUCGGGAAGGACCUGCGGGGGUUGGUCACCACCAUAUUUCACCACGGUUGACCUCGGAUCAGGUAGGAGUUACCCGCUGAACUUAAGC